rnacentral:rRNA from 1 species
AUGCUGGAGGUAUCAGAAGUGCGAAUGCUGACAUAAGUAACGAUAAAGCGGGUGAAAAGCCCGCUCGCCGGAAGACCAAGGGUUCCUGUCCAACGUUAAUCGGGGCAGGGUGAGUCGACCCCUAAGGCGAGGCCGAAAGGCGUAGUCGAUGGGAAACAGGUUAAUAUUCCUGUACUUGGUGUUACUGCGAAGGGGGGACGGAGAAGGCUAUGUUGGCCGGGCGACGGUUGUCCCGGUUUAAGCGUGUAGGCUGGUUUUCCAGGCAAAUCCGGAAAAUCAAGGCUGAGGCGUGAUGACGAGGCACUACGGUGCUGAAGCAACAAAUGCCCUGCUUCCAGGAAAAGCCUCUAAGCAUCAGGUAACAUCAAAUCGUACCCCAAACCGACACAGGUGGUCAGGUAGAGAAUACCAAGGCGCUUGAGAGAACUCGGGUGAAGGAACUAGGCAAAAUGGUGCCGUAACUUCGGGAGAAGGCACGCUGAUACGUAGGUGAAGUCCCUUGCGGAUGGAGCUGAAAUCAGUCGAAGAUACCAGCUGGCUGCAACUGUUUAUUAAAAACACAGCACUGUGCAAACACGAAAGUGGACGUAUACGGUGUGACGCCUGCCCGGUGCCGGAAGGUUAAUUGAUGGGGUUAGCGGUAACGCGAAGCUCUUGAUCGAAGCCCCGGUAAACGGCGGCCGUAACUAUAACGGUCCUAAGGUAGCGAAAUUCCUUGUCGGGUAAGUUCCGACCUGCACGAAUGGCGUAAUGAUGGCCAGGCUGUCUCCACCCGAGACUCAGUGAAAUUGAACUCGCUGUGAAGAUGCAGUGUACCCGCGGCAAGACGGAAAGACCCCGUGAACCUUUACUAUAGCUUGACACUGAACAUUGAGCCUUGAUGUGUAGGAUAGGUGGGAGGCUUUGAAGUGUGGACGCCAGUCUGCAUGGAGCCGACCUUGAAAUACCACCCUUUAAUGUUUGAUGUUCUAACGUUGGCCCCUAAUCGGGGUUGCGGACAGUGUCUGGUGGGUAGUUUGACUGGGGCGGUCUCCUCCUAAAGAGUAACGGAGGAGCACGAAGGUUGGCUAAUCCUGGUCGGACAUCAGGAGGUUAGUGCAAUGGCAUAAGCCAGCUUGACUGCGAGCGUGACGGCGCGAGCAGGUGCGAAAGCAGGUCAUAGUGAUCCGGUGGUUCUGAAUGGAAGGGCCAUCGCUCAACGGAUAAAAGGUACUCCGGGGAUAACAGGCUGAUACCGCCCAAGAGUUCAUAUCGACGGCGGUGUUUGGCACCUCGAUGUCGGCUCAUCACAUCCUGGGGCUGAAGUAGGUCCCAAGGGUAUGGCUGUUCGCCAUUUAAAGUGGUACGCGAGCUGGGUUUAGAACGUCGUGAGACAGUUCGGUCCCUAUCUGCCGUGGGCGCUGGAGAACUGAGGGGGGCUGCUCCUAGUACGAGAGGACCGGAGUGGACGCAUCACUGGUGUUCGGGUUGUCAUGCCAAUGGCACUGCCCGGUAGCUAAAUGCGGAAGAGAUAAGUGCUGAAAGCAUCUAAGCACGAAACUUGCCCCGAGAUGAGUUCUCCCUGACUCCUUGA